rnacentral:rRNA from 1 species
CACGUAGGGUGCGAGCGUUGUCCGGAAUUAUUGGGCGUAAAGAGCUCGUAGGCGGUGUGUCGCGUCGGCCGUGAAAACCUGCAGCUCAACUGUGGGCUUGCGGUCGAUACGGGCAUCACUGGAGUUCGGCAGGGGAGACUGGAAUUCCUGGUGUAGCGGUGAAAUGCGCAGAUAUCAGGAGGAACACCGGUGGCGAAGGCGGGUCUCUGGGCCGAUACUGACGCUGAGGAGCGAAAGCGUGGGGAGCAAACAGG